rnacentral:tRNA from 1 species
GUCGCCAUAGCUCAGCUGUAUAGAGCACAUCUUUCCUAAAGAUGGGGUCGCAGGUUAGAAUCCUGCUGGUGACGCCA